rnacentral:rRNA from 1 species
CGGGUUGUAAGCACUUUUAGUUGGGGACGAAAAAGUACACGGCCUAAUACUCUGUGAUCUUGAUUUAACCUACAGAAAAGCACCGGCUAACUCUGUGC